UACGUAGGGUGCAAGCGUUGUCCGGAAUUAUUGGGCGUAAAGAGCUCGUAGGCGGUCUGUCGCGUCGGAUGUGAAAAUCCAGGGCUCAACCCUGGACCUGCAUUCGAUACGGGCAGACUAGAGUUCGGCAGGGGAGACUGGAAUUCCUGGUGUAGCGGUGAAAUGCGCAGAUAUCAGGAGGAACACCGGUGGCGAAGGCGGGUCCCUGGACAACUCCUGACACUGAGGAGCGAAAGCCAGGGG
rnacentral:rRNA from 1 species